AUGUUUUCUGCAAAACUGGACAUUUUGGUAGCUACACUCAUAGAGCAUCCACAGAUGGUGAACGCAUUGGCAGGAGUAAUGACCUCUGUCAUCGCCAAGCUCACCGCCCUGCUCGGGGAGGAGUACGCAAAGCUGAAAGGUGUGCACAGGGAGGUGGAGUUCAUGAAAGAUGAGUUGAGCAGCAUGAACGCGCUCCUUCAGAGGCUGGCAGAGGUGGACCGUGAUCUUGAUGUGCAGACCAAGGAAUGGAGGGACCAAGUCUUGGAGAUGUCUUAUGACAUUGAGGAUUGCAUAGACGACUUUAUGAAAAGCCUUGGCCAAACUGACAGGGCUAAGGCAGCAGGGCUUGUGCAAAGUGUGGUCCAGUAG
rnacentral:rRNA from 1 species